rnacentral:rRNA from 1 species
UACGUAGGGACCGAGCGUUGUCCGGAAUCAUUGGGCGUAAAGAGCUCGUAGGCGGUGUGUCACGUCGGCCGUGAAAACCUGCAGCUUAACUGUGGGCGUGCGGUCGAUACGGGCAUCACUGGAGUUCGGCAGGGGAGACUGGAAUUCCUGGUGUAGCGGUGAAAUGCGCAGAUAUCAGGAGGAACACCGGUGGCGAAGGCGGGUCUCUGGGCCGAUACUGACGCUGAGGAGCGAAAGCGUGGGGAGCAAACAGG